rnacentral:rRNA from 1 species
UACGUAGGGUGCAAGCGUUGUCCGGAAUUAUUGGGCGUAAAGAGCUCGUAGGCGGUUUGUCGCGUCUGCUGUGAAAACCCGGGGCUCAACCCCGGGCCUGCAGUCGAUACGGGCAGGCUAGAGUCCGGCAGGGGAGACUGGAAUUCCUGGUGUAGCGGUGAAAUGCGCAGAUAUCAGGAGGAACACCGGUGGCGAAGGCGGCGACCUGGGUAGAUACUGACGCUGAGGUGCGAAAGCGUGGGGAGCAAACAGG